AGAGUUUGAUCAUGGCUCAGGAUGAACGCUGGCGGCGUGCUUAACACAUGCAAGUCGAGCGAAGCAGUUAAGAAGAUUCUUCGGAUGAUUCUUAACUGACUGAGCGGCGGACGGGUGAGUAACGCGUGGGUGACCUGCCCCAUACCGGGGAAUAACAGCUGGAAACGGCUGCUAAUACCGCAUAAGCGCACAGAGCUGCAUGGCUCGGUGUGAAAAACUCCGGUGGUAUGGGAUGGGCCCGCGUCUGAUUAGGCAGUUGGCGGGGUAACGGCCCACCAAACCGACGAUCAGUAGCCGGCCUGAGAGGGCGACCGGCCACAUUGGGACUGAGACACGGCCCAAACUCCUACGGGAGGCAGCAGUGGGGAAUAUUGCACAAUGGGGGAAACCCUGAUGCAGCGACGCCGCGUGAGCGAAGAAGUAUUUCGGUAUGUAAAGCUCUAUCAGCAGGGAAGAUAAUGACGGUACCUGACUAAGAAGCCCCGGCUAACUACGUGCCAGCAGCCGCGGUAAUACGUAGGGGGCAAGCGUUAUCCGGAUUUACUGGGUGUAAAGGGAGCGUAGACGGCUUUGCAAGUCUGAUGUGAAAGGCGGGGGCUCAACCCCUGGACUGCAUUGGAAACUGUGAGGCUUGAGUGCCGGAGAGGUAAGCGGAAUUCCUAGUGUAGCGGUGAAAUGCGUAGAUAUUAGGAGGAACACCAGUGGCGAAGGCGGCUUACUGGACGGUAACUGACGUUGAGGCUCGAAAGCGUGGGGAGCAAACAGGAUUAGAUACCCUGGUAGU
rnacentral:rRNA from 1 species